GACGAACGCUGGCGGCGUGCUUAACACAUGCAAGUCGAACGGAAAGGCCCUGCUUUUGUGGGGUGCUCGAGUGGCGAACGGGUGAGUAACACGUGAGUAACCUGCCCUUGACUUUGGGAUAACUUCAGGAAACUGGGGCUAAUACCGGAUAGGAGCUCCUGCUGCAUGGUGGGGGUUGGAAAGUUUCGGCGGUUGGGGAUGGACUCGCGGCUUAUCAGCUUGUUGGUGGGGUAGUGGCCUACCAAGGCUUUGACGGGUAGCCGGCCUGAGAGGGUGACCGGCCACAUUGGGACUGAGAUACGGCCCAGACUCCUACGGGAGGCAGCAGUGGGGAAUAUUGCACAAUGGGCGGAAGCCUGAUGCAGCAACGCCGCGUGCGGGAUGACGGCCUUCGGGUUGUAAACCGCUUUCGCCUGUGACGAAGCGUGAGUGACGGUAAUGGGGAAAGAAACACCGGCUAACUACGU
rnacentral:rRNA from 1 species